rnacentral:rRNA from 1 species
ACGGGUGAGUAACACUGGGUAACCUACCUAUAAGACUGGGAUAACUUCGGGAAACCGGAGCUAAUACCGGAUAAUAUUUCGAAUCGCAUGGUUCGAUAGUGAAAGAUGGUUUUGCUAUCACUUAUAGAUGGACCCUCGCCGUAUUAGCUAGUUGGUAAGGUAAGGCUUACCAAGGCGACGAUACGUAGCCGACCUGAGAGGGUGACCGGCCACACNGGAACUGAGGCACGGUCCAGACUCCUACGGGAGGCAGCAGUG